rnacentral:lncRNA from 1 species
CACGAGGCUCCAGGAACUGGGACUUGUGAGAAGACCCUGCAAGAGGUAGAAGGUGGUGUCCAUCAGAAGACCAUAUGUGGAUGGCCUCAACCAACCUGAGAAGGUGGAAAGGAAAACAUUCACUUGACCUGCAAAGGGAGAUGACACAAUGAAAUCCAGAGCUGGUGCGAUGGGAAAGGAGAUGCAUGCAGUAAAAUAGCUCAGAAGAGCUCUGGACCGCUGAGCACAAGAAGUAUUAGGAUGUUCCCUAACAUUGGGGUGCAUAAAUAUUAAAUAAGCUGCAGCAAAAAGGAGAGCAGUGUCUGUGCUGUCGACUCCCUGGGGUUGGGAGCAGGAACC